AGGCCUCCGGUCGUUCCCUCGAUUCUCUCCCACAAAAUCCUCAAGCCCUCCGCGCCACCGCCACCGCCACCGCCAUGCCGGCCAGCGAGCUCCGCCCGCAGACGGCGGCGGCCACCCAGCCACCGCCGCAGCCGCACCAGCCGUCGGACUACGAGAGGGAGGAGGAGGAGUUCGUGUGGACGCAGAUAAAGGCGGAGGCCCGGCGGGACGCGGAGUCGGAGCCGGCGCUGGCGAGCUUCCUCUACUCGACGGUGCUCUCCCACUCCUCCCUCGCGCGGUCCCUCUCCUUCCACCUCGGCAACAAGCUCUGCUCCUCCACCCUCCUCUCCACCCUCCUCUACGACCUCUUCCUCAGCGCCUUCUCCUCCGACCACCCCCUCCGCGCCGCCACCGUCGCCGACCUCCGCGCCGCCCGCGCCCGCGACCCCGCCUGCGUCUCCUUCUCCCACUGCCUCCUCAACUACAAGGGCUUCCUCGCGUGCCAGGUUAGGGAUCGCGAUUUCGUCAAUCGCGAUUUCGCCGUCUCCGCAAUUCGCGUGUCGUUAGAUUGAGGCCGAUGAUUUUCCUGCACUGCUUCUUGGGCGUGAUUUACGAGAUCAAUCUGAUUCCAAUUUUUUUGUCUUUUUUUGUAUUUGGUGAAAUUUCGGGUUUGGAAUAGUGAAGUGAGGGGUGACCUGGAUUGUAGGAUUAGAAUAUGCAGGGUUCAAUUUUAGUUUCUUUUUCUCGUGUACAAGUCAAUGCGAGGCGAUAAUUAAGCUAAGCUAUCUUUUCAUUGGGUAUAUAGAAUAGGGUCUUCUUGAUUGAUGCGACUGGAAUUCGACUUGCAGAUCUCCACUGAGGUUCUGCGUUUGAAGAGAGAGAAAGGGGGCGUUGGGGUAUUAGGAGCUGUACCCACUUCCUAUUUCCUUCCGUUGUUGUUUCUGUGCGUGCAAGCUUGGAUUUUUAGCUUGAUGGAAGGCAAUGAGAAAUGAUUUUGCUAAUCUUUUGCCUGUGGCUUGACUUCGGGUUUUGUCCUGAUAGUUGAUUUAGAGAGGUGAAACAAUGAGGGUG
rnacentral:lncRNA from 1 species